AGAUUGAACGCUGGCGGCAUGCCUUACACAUGCAAGUCGAACGGCAGCACGGGAGCAAUCCUGGUGGCGAGUGGCGAACGGGUGAGUAAUACAUCGGAACGUGCCCAAUCGUGGGGGAUAACGCAGCGAAAGCUGUGCUAAUACCGCAUAAGAUCUACGGAUGAAAGCAGGGGAUCGCAAGACCUUGCGCGAAUGGAGCGGCCGAUGGCAGAUUAGGUAGUUGGUGAGGUAAAGGCUCACCAAGCCUUCGAUCUGUAGCUGGUCUGAGAGGACGACCAGCCACACUGGGACUGAGACACGGCCCAGACUCCUACGGGAGGCAGCAGUGGGGAAUUUUGGACAAUGGCGAAAGCCUGAUCCAGCCAUGCCGCGUGCAGGAUGAAGGCCUUCGGUUGUAAACUGUCUUUUGUACGGAACGAAAGUCUCUUUACUAAUAAGAGGAUCAUGACGGUACCGUAAGAAUAAGCACGGCUAACUACGUAGACCG
rnacentral:rRNA from 1 species